UGAGGAAUAUUGGUCAAUGGACGUAAGUCUGAACCAGCCAAGUAGCGUGCAGGAUGACGGCCCUAUGGGUUGUAAACUGCUUUUAUGCGGGGAUAAAGUUGGGGACGCGUCCCUUUUUGCAGGUACCGCAUGAAUAAGGACCGGCUAAUUCCGUGCCAGCAGCCGCGGUAAUACGGAAGGUUCGGGCGUUAUCCGGAUUUAUUGGGUUUAAAGGGAGCGUAGGCCGGAGAUUAAGCGUGUUGUGAAAUGUAGUGGCUCAACCUCUGCACUGCAGCGCGAACUGGUCUUCUUGAGUACGCACAACGUGGGCG
rnacentral:rRNA from 1 species